CUGCUACUCCUUUGAAAUCUGCAGCAUCAUUGAUGGAAGACUGAGAACAAAACCCCAAAUCAGAAGUCAGCCAGGUUCAUGGAUGUGAACAUGAGUUCAAAAUUCACCCCAUGUCUUAGCCCUAUGAGUGUCUUCUAGGACAAUCGCAGCCAGUAAAAGCUCACCUUCAGCUGAGCUCCUCCACGGAUGUAGUUGUAAGAUGAGAGACCCUUCUGGAGAUGAAGAGAACGCAGCAACUGCUCAGAACUCCCUUGAAGCAGCUGGCAAAGGUUUAAAAGUGAAUGAAUAUCGAGGCUGAAAAUAAAGCCAGGGUCAAGUA